GAUGAACGCUGGCGGCGUGCCUAAUACAUGCAAGUCGAGCGAACAGACGAGGAGCUUGCUCCUCUUACGUUAGCGGCGGACGGGUGAGUAACACGUGGAUAACCUACCUAUGAGACUGGGAUAACUUCGGGAAACCGGAGCUAAUACCGGAUAAUAUAUUGAACCGCAUGGUUCAAUGGUGAAAGACGUUUUUGAUGUCACUUAUAGAUGGAUCCGCGCCGCAUUAGCUAGUUGGUACGGUAACGGCUUACCAAGGCAACGAUGCGUAGCUGACCUGAGAGGGUGAUCGGCCACACUGGAACUGAGACACGGUCCAGACUCCUACGGGAGGCAGCAGUAGGGAAUCUUCCGCAAUGGGCGAAAGCCUGACGGAGCAACGCCGCGUGAGUGAUGAAGGUCUUCGGAUCGUAAAACUCUGUUAUUAGGGAAGAACAAAUGUGUAAGUAACUAUGCACGUCUUGACGGUACCUAAUCAGAAAGCCACGGCUAACUACGUG
rnacentral:rRNA from 1 species